GUCCUAGCCGUAAACGGUGUGCACUUGCUGUGGGCGGAAUCGACCCCGUCCGUGGCGAAGCUAACGCGUUAAGUGCACCGCCUGGGGAGUACGGUCGCAAGAUUAAAACUCAAAGAAAUUGACGGGGCCUGCACAAGCGGUGGAGUAUGUGGCUCAAUUCGAUGCAACGCGAAGAACCUUACCUGGCCUUGACAUGCAGGUAGUAGAAGCCUGAAAGGGUAACGACUCCGCAAGGAGAGCCUGCACAGGUGCUGCAUGGCUGUCGU
rnacentral:rRNA from 1 species